AGAAAGUAAGUCCAACCUGAGAAAACCCACAGAGGCCACACCUCUAGGAGGCGAAACGCGUCUUUCAAAGGUGGUACCUCCACCUAGACAAAGAGUUUCCAUUGGUUGGAGGUGAAUUGCUUAAAAAAAGAGAGAGAGAGAAAGAAAGAGAAACAAAAGCCCCGAGCUUUGGAAUUUCCUUCUCCUGUUCAACCUGAAACACUCUUGAAGCUGGAAUGAUGGCUCAGCAGUUAAGAGCACGGACUGCUGGUCCAGAAGACCUGGGUUCAAUUCCCAACACCUACAUGGUGGUCCAAAACCAUUCAUAACUCCAGUUCCAGGGAACGCUUCUUCUGGCUUCAGUGGGCAUCGGUCAUUUCCAUGGUUCAGUGCAUACACGCAGAGCAGACAAGUCAAGUGGCAGAGGGUCACGCCCAGACUAGCCACACUGCAGAGGCUCUGAGACCAGGCCAGCUGUUUGAAAGAAGCAGAAACCAGCUGAGCUGCCUGCCAACUGGGUAGUGUGCUCCAGGUUCCAAGCCUUGUGAGCUGCCAGCCAAUUGGGGUGGGCCUUGGUGAUGGGGCUGUCUUUGAGUCACUUCUGCUACUGGAAGUGACCUUCACCCAUAUCCACGGAAGGACCUCAAUAAAACCCACUGGUUCCCCAGGUUGGACUUUGGUGGUAUCUGUACUUUGAGCCCCAGUGGGCUCGUUAUUUGGAAGGCGUAGACUUGUGUUUUGCAUGUUCCCCGGGGAAAGUCUUGUCACAUCAGGAACUUAAUAAAUGUCAGGGAUUAACUGAUCAGAGCAGCAGAAGUGCCUUUGCUGUGUGACUUCGAUCUA
ensembl:lncRNA